rnacentral:rRNA from 1 species
AUGAACGCUAGCGACAGGCUUAACACAUGCAAGUCGAGGGGCAGCACAGGUAGCAAUACCGGGUGGCGACCGGCGCACGGGUGAGUAACGCGUAUGCAACUUGCCUAUCAGAGGGGGAUAACCCGGCGAAAGUCGGACUAAUACCGCAUGAAGCAGGGAUCCCGCAUGGGAAUAUUUGCUAAAGAUUCAUCGCUGAUAGAUAGGCAUGCGUUCCAUUAGGCAGUUGGCGGGGUAACGGCCCACCAAACCGACGAUGGAUAGGGGUUCUGAGAGGAAGGUCCCCCACAUUGGUACUGAGACACGGACCAAACUCCUACGGGAGGCAGCAGUGAGGAAUAUUGGUCAAUGGCCGAGAGGCUGAACCAGCCAAGUCGCGUGAGGGAUGAAGGUUCUAUGGAUCGUAAACCUCUUUUAUAAGGGAAUAAAGUGCGGGACGUGUCCCGUUUUGUAUGUACCUUAUGAAUAAGGAUCGGCUAACUCCGUGCCAGCAGCCGCGGUAAUACGGAGGAUCCGAGCGUUAUCCGGAUUUAUUGGGUUUAAAGGGUGCGUAGGCGGCCUUUUAAGUCAGCGGUGAAAGUCUGUGGCUCAACCAUAGAAUUGCCGUUGAAACUGGGGGGCUUGAGUAUGUUUGAGGCAGGCGGAAUGCGUGGUGUAGCGGUGAAAUGCUUAGAUAUCACGCAGAACCCCGAUUGCGAAGGCAGCCUGCCAAGCCAUGACUGACGCUGAUGCACGAAAGCGUGGGGAUCAAACAGGAUUAGAUACCCUGGUAGUCCACGCAGUAAACGAUGAUCACUAGCUGUUUGCGAUACACUGUAAGCGGCACAGCGAAAGCGUUAAGUGAUCCACCUGGGGAGUACGCCGGCAACGGUGAAACUCAAAGGAAUUGACGGGGGCCCGCACAAGCGGAGGAACAUGUGGUUUAAUUCGAUGAUACGCGAGGAACCUUACCCGGGUUUGAACGCAUUCGGACCGAGGUGGAAACACCUUUUCUAGCAAUAGCCGUUUGCGAGGUGCUGCAUGGUUGUCGUCAGCUCGUGCCGUGAGGUGUCGGCUUAAGUGCCAUAACGAGCGCAACCCUUGCCACUAGUUACUAACAGGUAAAGCUGAGGACUCUGGUGGGACUGCCAGCGUAAGCUGCGAGGAAGGCGGGGAUGACGUCAAAUCAGCACGGCCCUUACAUCCGGGGCGACACACGUGUUACAAUGGCGUGGACAAAGGGAAGCCACCUGGCGACAGGGAGCGAAUCCCCAAACCACGUCUCAGUUCGGAUCGGGGUCUGCAACCCGACUCCGUGAAGCUGGAUUCGCUAGUAAUCGCGCAUCAGCCAUGGCGCGGUGAAUACGUUCCCGGGCCUUGUACACACCGCCCGUCAAGCCAUGGGAGCCGGGGGUACCUGAAGUCCGUAACCGCGAGGAUCGGCCUAGGGUAAAACUGGUGACUGGGGCU